CUGCUCACCUCGGCAGCACAUCAACUAAAAUUAGAACGAUAUGGAGGAGAUUGGUAUGGCCCCUGCACAAAGAUGACAGGCAAAUGCAUGAAGCAUUCCAUAGGGUU